GCGCUCACUUAGGCAACACAUGUACUAGAAUAGGAACUAUACAGAGAAGAUUAGCAUGACUCCUGCCAAGGAUGAUACGCAAAUUCGUAAAGCAUUCUAUAUUUUU